UAAUAUGAUGUAAAACCUAAUCUUUUUUGAAUUUCUUCACCUGAAACUUCGUGUGGAUCAAAAUUAUCAGAGCUUUUUAACCCUGAUU
rnacentral:snoRNA from 1 species